UACAGAGGGUGCGAGCGUUGUCCGGAAUCACUGGGCGUAAAGGGCGCGUAGGUGGUGGCUUAAGCGUGCGGUGAAAGCUCGGGGCUCAGCCCCGAGUCGGCCGUGCGAACUGGGCUCACUGGAGCAUAGUAGAGGCAGGUGGAAUUCCGGGUGUAGCGGUGGAAUGCGUAGAGAUCCGGAAGAACACCGGUGGCGAAGGCGGUCUGCUGGGGUAAUGCUGACACUGAUGCGCGACAGCGUGGGGAGCAAACAGG
rnacentral:rRNA from 1 species